CAUGCUCGGCGGGGUUGUGCUGCUGUCCGCGGAGCCAGCUGGGCUCAGCCGUUCUCUUUUGAGUAAGAUCUCAUCAAAAUGAACAAGUUGAGCCCAGUCUUGGCAGACACUGAACAGCACUGAUGACCAGCACCUAAUCUGGAGACACAUGUGGGGGAAGAUGUGCAACCACAGGCAAGGCUGAAACUUCUGAUGGCCAUGAACACAGACAUUGCACCCGUGGUGCUGGGUCCAGCUGUUGUUCUGUCCUUGGUAAAUAUCUGAGUUAAAGUAAUGGGAGUUUCUCACCUUGCAAUAAAUUGCUUAGAAAGUGCAUUUCACAAUUUGAUGUCCAAGCUGUAAUAGAGAAGGAGCUCCAUGAGACUGUAGACAGGUAAGCACUCAUGCCAGCUGGCUUUUACAUGCUCACAAUCUAAUCCACACCAGCUGUAUUCUUUGAUGUUGUAAACCAGUUUACUUUUACUUUGACAACAAGCUACUACUGCAGGAAGAGACAAGACUGAAAACAGUGUUUAUAGGGCAUAAAACAGUGAAAUAAUAGGUAUUAUACAGCAGGUAAUAUUUUUAAAAUGCAUAAAGAUAAUGAAACAAAUAUUUGUUACAGCUGAAAAUCAAAAAGUCAAGAGACUACUUAAAAUGUACUUUUCUGUUACCCACUGAAAAAAUUCUACAUGUAGACAUUGCUCAAAAAAAUAUGGGAAAACUUUGUCUAUUUAAAGACAUAAUAUUUUCCCUGGCUUCAGUCAAUACAGCAUUUCUAUUCCUACAUGGAGAAAGAAACCCCAAGCACUCCAACAGACUGCUGACAAGUCUAAAGAAGCCAGGAAGUCGGGACCAAAACUCUUUCCAGCUUACCCUGAGAGGCUCAACAAAGCACCUCAAAUGUUGGAUACAAUCACCCACUUUCUUAAGCCACCUUCAAAGCAUAUGCCAGAAGCAUGCCAAAGAAGAGCAAGAUUUUGACCUUGUUACCUUCACUUAUAGGAUGUCAAGUAGUGACCUUGCCUUCUGGCAGGUCUUGUGCAGCACCGUGGAGCCCAUCACCACCUGGCAGCUCACCUUUCUCAUUGGCAAAGCAAGAAUAUUUCCAAAUUCUUCUUUUUCAACUGGGAGUUCCCUUCCAAAGCUAUUGAAUUUGUGGAUUGAGACAUGAAGCAGAGAUCCAGCAGCAAGAGGUACAGAAUAGCACUGAGACUGUGAAGGAGAAGCUGUGCUGUGUCAUGGGAGAGCCCAUCACCAGCAAGGCAGAGCUUUGAAGAAAGCUCUGACAACUUUGCUGAGCUCCAUCACACCCUCUGCAGCUGUCAAAGGUGAGCCUUGCUCAGUCUAAAGCAGCACAAGCAAAACACAGGGCACAGCUUAGUGCAGUGACCUGUCAAACUGAAUGAGAGGAGAUGUGCAAGAAGUAACUUGGGCUCCACUUGAGUUUUAAAGUUGGAUUCCAGAGCCCACUGCAAUUUCUCAGUGGUCUUUGGAUUAACUGUACUUGUACUUCAGCAUCAAAAUAUUUUGUUACACUUUCAGUAAACAACUUUACAUUUUUUUUAGCUUGAGGAAUGUCUGUGUCCUGAUCUUAUAGGCAGUUAUUGCUCCAAGUUACUGAUCCCAUCUUGAGCAGCAGCCUCCAGCAUUACAGUUCCCUUCUUUUUUGUGGUGAGGCCCAUUUGACCUCAUAGGGUGAUGGCACUUCCCUGUAAAUGAAUUAUAGACAGAUCUAAACAUCAGGGAAAUCCAGUCUAGAGUCAGAGUAUUGGCUUUAUAAUAUCAUAAAUUAUAUUAUAAUAAUAUAAUAUGUUAUUAUAAUAUAAUUGUACAUUAUACUGCCAGAAAAUAACAGAAAAUAUCCAUUUUUUUCACUCUGUGAUUCUUAUGUUGGCUUCCUGAUGCGUAAUAAUCACCUGGUGACUUAAUGCUUACCCCAAAGUACAUGUUAGGAAUUCCAGGUGGAGACUUUUGCAUGUCCUUUCAUCACAUGCAUACAAAAAUCAAUACUACAUUCCUAUUGUUUAAUUUAUUGCUGAUCCAUAAUUUGAUAAUAAUGUAUAAAGCAAUUUUAAUUUUUGUUUUCAAAUAAAAGCUGUCUUUUUCACCCAUAAUUAUUUUCAUUAAAAUAUAUUAUUUUGGCAAAUAUUCUAGAUGUUCUGGACAUGAGGAUAUGAUUUUCAGAAAAAGGUUCACUUUGGUAGAAAGAUAUUUAAUUUAAAAUGUAUACCUUUAUUAAUAAUUGUGAAAGGCAAUGGAUAUGAAAAAAAUUAUACUUAAUAUGAAAACAUCUCCUCUUCAAAAAAAAAGGUACAUUGAAAAAAAUGCAACUUUUUUGGGGGACUACUUACUAAGUUUAAAUUAAAUUGCUAAUUCACAUUAAUAUAUAUUUGCCAAAGUAAAAUGAAAUUUUGAAAGUUUGAAAAUACUGAAAUGUACCAUUUCAACAGUUCUUGAGCAAUAAUACUUCAUGAUUUUACAUUGAAGUUAUUUUAUUUCUCUUUUAAUUAGUAUACAUAGACUAUAUCUGAAUAGUCAUAAUUAAAAAGAAUAAAAUUACUUAUUUUUAAUGCUGUGACCAUAAUAAAUUUUUAAAGUAUUUUAUUUAUGCAUUUUGUUUUAAUUUGUAGGACUUUCUGAGCAAUCAGGAAGGGAAUUUACUGAAAAUCUUAUAAAAUAGAAAUUUUAUCUUCACUUUGAUUCUAAUAUUUAUCUUUUUAUGCUACCACAGGGCUCAGAGGUCUGUCAAGUCCUGCACAUGCACCCACCCUGGUGUGGUUGUGACAUUUCAGCUUUGCAGUUGUUAACAUACAGGCUAAAAUAUCCAUAUAUUGAUAUAUCUGCACUCACUCUGUCUGUAAUGACUGUAUUUAGGGACUCAGAUAUGAAGAAAUGUGUCCAUAAGCAUGAAAGUUGAAUCAUGGAAUCUCAGAAUGGUUUGGGUUGGAAGGGACCUAGGGGGUGAUCUAAUUCCAAACCCCCUACUUUGGGAAGGGGCAUCUUCCAUUAGACCAAGUUGCUCAGUCCCAUCCACCCUGGCCCUAAACACUUUAAAUGCUCUUCCUUUUAUAAGUAUUCAGCUUAUGAUGACUUAGAAAACCCAUAUUUUUAGCUGUUGGACCACACUUCAUGGUACUCUCUGCUGCUCUGUACAAUUAAUAUUGUUACCACGCUUAACUUUGUUGAAAAGUUGAUGACAGGCAUUCAAUUAGGUAUAAAAUAAUGAAGCUUAUUGUAAAUGUUGAGAAAAAUGCUGACUCUUAGCUGAUGGGAUAAUGUGCUUUAGCUGUAUAUAGUAGAACUUUAAUUAAUCCAAUUUUACAUUGUUGGAUUAUUGUUCCCCCUAUGAACUAUGCCAUCAAAUAAGUGCUAUAAGCAGUGCAAUUCCAAUUUUCUAAAUGAAUAUUUUCAUUUUUUUACAAUGUUACUUUUAAAUUAUUUACUAGAAAAAUAGAGACUCUGUAAUAAUCUCCAAGGUUUAUAGUAAAUCUAAGUUAUAGUGAGGUUUGCAUCUAAAUGCUUCCUUGUUCAAAGCUAGAAUGCAAAGGAGCACAUGUUGCCAAUCCCUAAGACUGCAGAGCAAGGAAGAGUCAAUUACAACUUUCUGGUUGUUUCUCUAUCCUUCUGAAGGGACAUGAAGCAGACUACCUGUGCUGGGGAACCUGGAAUCUGCAGGAGUGUGGGAUCCUUGCUGGCAGUCUGACAUUCCUGAUAUGUUAUGUGGCCCGUGGCACAGAGCUGAUGUUCUGAAUUACCAAUUAUAUACCUAAUGGAGCCCUGAGAACUAACUCCUGCCCUCCUCUGGGUACUGAGGCAGUCUUUAAACACUGGCAAAGGACUGAUGCUAUAAAUAAAACUCUGUCUCCAUAGCGACAGGCAGCUCAGUGCUCAGCUUUCAACACUUUAAAAAGCCUUUGAGAAAAGAAGGAAACUCAGUUUUCCUGGUUUUCAUCUUGACAAUAAAAAAGCAGGAUGAAGAACCUUUAUGCCUAUGAUGGAGCUGUUAAUAUUGCUGGGUAGUGAAUGGAGAAAAGGGCUUCUGGAGCAAAAGGGACUUCCCAGAGCGAAAACUUCUCACGUAAAGAACUAGAAGAAUUGCAUCCCUAGAACAGCAGAAUGGAAAACAGAAUUUUUCCAAUGGUUUGACAACCCAAGAAGCUGCUCACCCUCAGCACAGAGCCAGUGUGAGGCCCAAAAGCCACUGAAGCACAGCUCCUGCUUGUGUGUCUCUGUCACCCUCCACAGCAGGGUUGUUUUUCUGGCCAGCUGACUGAUUAUCUGCUGUUGCCUGAAAUGUACUGCCAGCUCCGUCCAGUCCCUUAGAGCUCUCUCCAUCUUCUGUCUUUUCCUUGUUUAACUCUCUUUUUACCUCUUUUUUCCUGCUGUACCUGAGCUCCAACAGAUGCUUUUCCCCCACCAUUCCAGUGGUGAGUGUAGCUUUAGGGGUGCUGUUGGGCUGCAGCAUGGCAGUGGGAUGUGGGGGAGCCAGCACAACCACUCAUUCCCCAGUGUUGCUGGUGUUAGAAGCCAACAGUCUUUUACUGCCUGAAAAACAAUUUACUGAGCCUGCACACACUGGGAUACUGUGCUUUUGUCACACUGAUAAUGCCUGGGAGGAGGGCGAGGAGCUGAGCUCAACUGUGUAUUUUCAUGUGAGUCCUUCUGCAAGGACCCCUGAGGCUUGGUGGGAAGAGCAGAAGGAUUGUGUCCCAUGCUCCAGCAUGAUCCCUGUUUCACCUGAUCCCACCAUGUCAGUGAGCUGCCUCAGCAACCCCUCCCUUGGACACUGUGAGAGGAUGGUAAAUGGGAAUAGAAGGUUGUUGGAUAUUUCUGGAAGGAUUCAUGAUGUUAAUGAAAGUCUCAAAGCUUGGAUCGGAGAGCACUAUCAAAUUUGCCUUUUUCUGGAAAAUCUGAGGUGACAGAACAUGAACUCAAACUUCAAUACUUGAGGUUUUGUUCUUUUAGUAUCUCUUGACCAGUACAUCUGCAGCAAGCCAAACAUUCAAGCUCACUCUAGUUGGGAAAACAGUUUGAAAUAAGUGAUUCUUAAUCUGCUUAUUCAAGAUAGAGAUACACUCUGGAGCCAAACUUUUCUCAAUGUUCUGUUAUUUUUGGCCAACCAUACUAUGUCUCUCUAAUCUUAAAGAACCCAAAGCAUUUAUUUGUUGCCAAAGAAACACUUUAUGUUUAGGACAGAUCUGUUUAGCUGCAGGCACCUUCGUCAUUCAGUUUUCAACCCUCAGUUCUGUCUGUGGCAGCUGACCUCAGAGUGACAAUGGAGGCUGGCCCUUGCCACCAAGACUGGAGCAUAGAAACCCUCUUCUUGAAAGCAAAAAAGAAGAGCAGCAUAAGGGUUUUGAAUCGACUUUCAGUUUGCACAUUCUACUAAUAAUUUGGUCUUUAUCUCUUGCAUUGUUCUCUGUACUCUGAAGCUUCAGAAUUAUCUUGACUGAUGUGUCUGAGCCAGUGUUGUGUCACCAGCCUUUGCAUUGGGGAAGAAAACUAUGAUAGCAAGACAGAUAGCUCGGAAAGAGCAAUUUGUAUAAGGAGGAGAGUCACAUUGAUCAUGUCAUAACAUCACUACCAGUUACAUGGACACUUCAGCUCCAAGUAGAAAAGAUUCAUUUCCACAAAAGAGCCUUGGCUUGAAUAGCCUAAGAGAGUGAAAGCCAUGCAAAGUAAUUUCCAAGAAGUAAAGUUUCAAGGAAAAAGAAAGGAAAGAAUAAAACAUUAAGGAAUGUAUGGAAUAUUUUCUAUAUAGUGUAUGUUGGGGUGGGUUUUCUGGGUGGCUGGAAAAGGAGACACUGUAAGGAUUGUAGCUCCAGGUCAUGGUACUAACACAAGUGCAGGUGUAUUGCUGCACACCUGCUUUCUUAAAUACUCCAGUUGCAGCUGGCCUUGCCAAAGUCACUUCAUGGUCCCCAAAACUCAUCUCUGCCUUGAUAUCAGCAAAAUCUGAGCAAUACCUGGCAGCUGCUCUUAGCUUUACUGAUUUCAACCACCAUGUGUUGGCUGUAUUUACCUUACCCAUGAGUCUGAUAUCUAAUUGUAUCUAGUCUAUGUUCUACUCUUCCAUAUUCUAUGUUCUGCUUGUACAGGCCCAGAUUUCUGAGCUACUGAGUUUCAAUCAGAGCCUUUUAUAUGCAGGCAGUGUUUAGAUGUAUUCAUGUUUUGGGUGCAGCUGCACGAAAAGGGAAAACUUCUGUACUGGGCCUGAUCUUCAAAUAUGAUGAUCCAUUAGCAUUCUACUCUGAGCAAAAUAUGGUGUGAAAUACCAGCUUUAGGUGCUGAAGGCAAAUUGUGUAGUUGGAAAGGUGAUCUCACAGUCUUACACAGCUGAAAGAUGUGCUUCUGUAUCACACACUGGAUGCCAUCAGGCUGAAUCCUUUUUCAGUGUAGUCACAACUCUUUUGCACACUUCUAAUAGUUUGCAUUCCUUUUGUGCAUCAAUAUUAACAAAGAGGGUUUUUCCUGAAAAAAAAAUCAUAUUUGCUAUAUUUUGUUGAAGAAUACUAUACUAUUUUGUUGAAGAAUAUAUUAUUUAUUGUUUUGUUGCAUAAUGAUGGAAUGCACAAUUUUUUUCCAAGGGUCGGAAAUGAAUUUUUUUUAAUACUUCUUCCUUUUCUGCUUUGAAAUUGUUAAAUAGAAGUGGCAGGAGUAUUAAUGGUCUUCUGCUAGUGCUAAGAUAUGCUUUUGUUUCACUGUCUCUAAAUUAAGCUUGUUAUUGUCUUUAGUUUUGUCUGGAUAUAGACACGGUGAAAUAACGUCACUUUUGUCCUUUCAUUUACUUUGAUUUAAAUUCUAGAAACUUUUGAGGCCUUGAUACUAUCUUUUGACAAAACAGAAAUGUAAUGAACUGUGAAUGCCCUAAAGCACAGACCUUCAAAAUUUAGAAUAACAAGAGUUCACACUGAAGGACAUUUUAUUGCCUUAUUAUUAUACUAUUACGGGAAAUAGUCUUAGGAGAAAUGGGAAUAUUAAGAAAUUAUUGUUCAUUUGAGUCAUAGGUCAAAUCAGGGACCUUAUUGCAAAUGCAUAGAAAUUAUCUUUACAGCUUCUAGAAGGUUAGAUGGAGUUCAAGGCCAAGCAUUCAUACAAGUAAGAAAGGUCAAAUUAUACAUAUGAUAAUACUUGGUGACAACAAAGCCAAAGGUCAAGUCUGAGGCAUUAUUGUGGCACAUACAGAGAAAAUUACCAUUCAGAUAUCAUAUGGCAUUCCUGCCGGCUCCAGGGCCAGAUUCUCAUCUUGGUUCUGCUGUUGCAAAACGAAAGAUUCCAGUAAAGCACCUGUGCAUUUGAAAGACUGGGUUUAUUCUUGAAUAUUUAGCUUUAGUUCAAUGAAGUCUCCAGUAGAGAAAGUAAACAAGUUCCCCGUGCUAUUUUGCCAUUUCCAUAUUUUAAGAUGUGUAAACUUCAAUAGAUAAAUUGGCUCCAUGGAUUUCUGCUUUGUUAUUGCAAUAUUUAUGUGUCCUGAAUUCCUAGACAAAAAAUAACCAAAGCACAGUCUUGCAAAACUUAUAUAGUGAAAUGGGAGUUACAAGAAAGUGAAGAAAUUAUUAUUUACUUUUUGUUGCACAUUUUAGUAAAUUGCUUUUUUUAGAUGUGAAGAGGUUUUUGUCUGCUAUCAGCAUGAAACUUUUAAGUAUAGUCAUUUUGAAAAGGUUUAAUUUAGAGUUUGCUGUCUUGGAUAAGUGAAAGAAUGAAUGAAUGAAUGAAUGAAUGAAUGAAUGAAUGAAUGAAUGAUUUUUCAAAUAAUAUGUUUUUCUAAGUUGCUUACAAUCCCUUGAAAAUGGCCUACUUAAAUUGUAGAAUAUAAGGAAAAAUAAUCAGCUUUUAAAGCAAACUUUUUUUUUGUUGCUGUAAAAGUGUUGUGUCGACACAGAUCAAAUAAAAUGGUUUUCCCCAAAUCAACAGGAGAAAAAUGUUACUGAUCCACACUUAUGCAUCAGAGAAAUGACUGUUUGGAUCAUACUCAAGCAGUGGGAUAACCUGUAUAUUUACUCUAAUACACUGUUCUUGGUAAUUGGAAGCAAUAUAACAUUAUCUCUAUUGAUACAGCUAAUAAAG